GGUUAAGCGAAUAAGCGUACACGGUGGAUGCCUAGGCAAUCAGAGGCGAUGAAGGACGUGCUAAUCUGCGAAAAGCGUCGGUAAGGUGAUAUGAACCGUUAUACCCGACGAUAUCCGAAUGGGGAAACCCAGUAUCCAAUGGAUACUAUCAUUAACUGAAUCCAUAGGUUAAUGAGGCGAACCGGGAGAACUGAAACAUCUCAGUACCCCGAGGAAAAGAAAUCAACCGAGAUUCCCCUAGUAGCGGCGAGCGAACGGGGAGCAGCCCAGAGUCUUAAUCAAUAGCAGUGUCAGGAGAACGGUCUGGAAAGUCCGGCAGUAAAGGGUGAUAGCCCCGUAUCUGAAGAUGCUGUUAUUGUGAACUCGACGAGUAGGGCGGGACACGUGUUAUCCUGUCUGAAUAUGGGGGGACCAUCCUCCAAGGCUAAAUACUCCUGAUUGACCGAUAGUGAACCAGUACCGUGAGGGAAAGGCGAAAAGAACCCCGGCGAGGGGAGUGAAAAAGAACCUGAAACCGUGUACGUACAAGCAGUAGGAGCCUCUUUAUGGGGUGACUGCGUACCUUUUGUAUAAUGGGUCAGCGACUUAUAUUCUGUAGCAAGGUUAACCGUAUAGGGGAGCCGUAGGGAAACCGAGUCUUAACUGGGCGAAUGAGUUGCAGGGUAUAGACCCGAAACCCGGUGAUCUAUCCAUGGGCAGGUUGAAGGUUGGGUAACACUAACUGGAGGACCGAACCGACUAAUGUUGAAAAAUUAGCGGAUGACUUGUGGAUGGGGGUGAAAGGCCAAUCAAACCGGGAGAUAGCUGGUUCUCCCCGAAAGCUAUUUAGGUAGCGCCUCGUGAACUCAUCUUCGGGGGUAGAGCACUGUUUCGACUAGGGGGUCAUCCCGACUUACCAACUCGAUGCAAACUGCGAAUACCGAAGAAUGUUAUCACGGGAGACACACGGCGGGUGCUAACGUCCGUCGUGAAGAGGGAAACAACCCAGACCGCCAGCUAAGGUCCCAAAGUCAUGGUUAAGUGGGAAACGAAGUGGGAAGGCUCAGACAGCCAGGAUGUUGGCUUAGAAGCAGCCAUCAUUUAAAGAAAGCGUAAUAGCUCACUGGUCGAGUCGGCCCGCGCGGAAGAUGUAACGGGGCUAAACCAUGCACCGAAGCUGCGGCAGCGACACGUAGUGUUGUUGGGUAGGGGAGCGUUCUGUAAGCCUGCGAAGGUGUACUGUGAGGUAUGCUGGAGGUAUCAGAAGUGCGAAUGCUGACAUAAGUAACGAUAAUGCGGGUGAAAAACCCGCACGCCGGAAGACCAAGGGUUCCUGUCCAACGUUAAUCGGGGCAGGGUGAGUCGACCCCUAAGGCGAGGCUGAAAAGCGUAGUCGAUGGGAAACGGGUUAAUAUUCCCGUACUGGUGGUAACUGCGAUGGGGGAACGGAGAAGGCUAGGUUGUCCGGGCGACGGUCGUCCCGGUUCAAGCAGGUAGGCAGAGUGAUUAGGCAAAUCCGGUCACUUAAUGCUGAGAUGUGAUGACGAACCACCAAGGUGGUGAAGCAAUUGAUGCCCCGCUUCCAGGAAAAGCCUCUAAGCUUCAGGUUACCAACAAUCGUACCCCAAACCGACACAGGUGGUCAGGUAGAGAAUACUCAGGCGCUUGAGAGAACUCGGGUGAAGGAACUAGGCAAAAUGGUGCCGUAACUUCGGGAGAAGGCACGCUGGCGGUAGGUAAAGUCCCUCGCGGACGGCGCUGAAGCCAGUCGAAGAUACCAGCUGGCUGCAACUGUUUAUUAAAAACACAGCACUGUGCAAACACGAAAGUGGACGUAUACGGUGUGACGCCUGCCCGGUGCUGGAAGGUUAAUUGAUGGGGUUAGCCGUAAGGCGAAGCUCCUGAUCGAAGCCCCAGUAAACGGCGGCCGUAACUAUAACGGUCCUAAGGUAGCGAAAUUCCUUGUCGGGUAAGUUCCGACCUGCACGAAUGGCGUAAUGAUGGCCAGGCUGUCUCCACCCGAGACUCAGUGAAAUUGAACUCGCUGUGAAGAUGCAGUGUACCCGCGGCAAGACGGAAAGACCCCGUGAACCUUUACUAUAGCUUGACACUGAACAUUGAGCCUUGAUGUGUAGGAUAGGUGGGAGGCUUUGAAGUGUGGACGCCAGUCUGCAUGGAGCCAACCUUGAAAUACCACCCUUUAACGUUUGAUGUUCUAACCUAGGCCCAUAAACUGGGUCGGGGACCGUGUCUGGUGGGUAGUUUGACUGGGGCGGUCUCCUCCUAAAGAGUAACGGAGGAGCACGAAGGUUGGCUAAGCAUGGUCGGACAUCAUGCGGUUAGUGCAAAGGCAUAAGCCAGCUUGACUGCGAGAGUGACGGCUCGAGCAGGUACGAAAGUAGGUCUUAGUGAUCCGGUGGUUCUGAAUGGAAGGGCCAUCGCUCAACGGAUAAAAGGUACUCCGGGGAUAACAGGCUGAUACCGCCCAAGAGUUCAUAUCGACGGCGGUGUUUGGCACCUCGAUGUCGGCUCAUCACAUCCUGGGGCUGAAGUAGGUCCCAAGGGUAUGGCUGUUCGCCAUUUAAAGUGGUACGCGAGCUGGGUUUAGAACGUCGUGAGACAGUUCGGUCCCUAUCUGCCGUGGGCGUUGGAAGAUUGAGAGGGGUUGCUCCUAGUACGAGAGGACCGGAGUGAACGCACCACUGGUGUUCGGGUUGUCAUGCCAAUGGCAUUGCCCGGUAGCUAAGUGCGGAAGAGAUAACCGCUGAAAGCAUCUAAGCGGGAAACUUGCCUCGAGAUGAGUCUUCCCUGUCACUUUAAGUGACCUAAAGGAACGUUUAAGACUAAGACGUUGAUAGGCUGGGUGUGUAAGCGUAGCGAUACGUUGAGCUAACCAGUACUAAUGAACCGUGAGGCUUAACCUG
rnacentral:rRNA from 1 species